UACUAAAAUCAACACGCAUUUGCUUUAGAGUUCAGAUCUCCGAGCGAAAUCCGCCAAAAGAUGGUGAGAGAUACUGAAGAUAAUAUUGAAGACAAGAAGAAUCAUUAUUGCCCUCUUGACGAAGAUGAUAUAGCUCUCUUGAAGACUUAUGGUUUAGGGCCUUGCUCUGCACCGGAUAAGAAAGUAGGGAAAGAAAUCAAGGAGAUCGCCAAGAGGAUCAACGAUCGCUGUGGUAUCAAGGAGUCUGAUGUUGGAAGUAAACUUGAAGAAUGAGAUAACUUAGAGAGCAAGGGAUUAAUCCUAUUCGAGUUAUGUUUAGGAUAAAAGUGUUUUUCCCAUUGUGUUUAGGAUAAUUACAAGAUCUAUAUAUAUGGAUAUAUCGAGUUGUGAUAUGACAUAUGAGUUGUGAGAGAUCUUGUGUGAGAGCUUAAGUUUUGAGUAAUUUUCUUGAGCUAAUAAG